GUAAGUGGAGAUAAAAACACAGUUUCUGUUGGUAGUCAGAACCUAUAUAAAUUUAAUAUAGCAGUAACCUGCCCUCCUGGGGUUGUCCAUUCUCUAGAGAUUUUAA
rfam:Clostridium amylolyticum strain DSM 21864 genome assembly, contig: Ga0131114_108